GUCUUGCCAACGAUGUUCCUGAAGCAGAGAGGAGGUGAUGGUGUGGAAACUGAAGUGCUUGAGGAAUGGUGUCAAGGAAGCUGAGCAGCCACCCACCUGGACAAUAACUUAUCCUACAUGUCGCCUGCUGGCAGGAGAGCAAAAGGGUGUGGAGACAGUUGCCCGAUUCAUCGAGGAAGAAGGUUCUCAGUUUGGUAUACACACCCGUGCCGCUGCUUUGUCAGCCUUAGCCUGUAGACGGCAAAGGCGAGUCGCACUGUAUCGAAGGGACCUGGUCACCCUUUUUCACAAAUGCAUGGAAAAGAAGCCCAAAUCAGUCAGAGAGGAAAAGUCUGAAGUAAGGCCAUUUUCUUGACUAUCUAGUUAUCUCUAUGAGUGGGGUAUGGUUGGGUCUGGGGGGUCUGUCUCUCAGAAACCCCUGGAGAGGGAGGUGGGCUAGAGGCAUUGGUGUGGCCCUCAGAUAAUCUGGGUU
rnacentral:lncRNA from 1 species